rnacentral:rRNA from 1 species
GGAUUAGAUACCCUGGUAGUCCACACCGUAAACGAUGUCUAUUAGCUGUGUGUAAAUUUAAUUUGUGCGUAGCGCAGCCAACGCGAUAAAUAGACCGCCUGGGGAGUACGGCCGCAAGGUUAAAACUCAAAUGAAUUGACGGGGGCCCGCACAAGCGGUGGAGCAUGUGGUUUAAUUCGAUGCAACGCGAAGAACCUUACCUACACUUGACAUUCAGAGAAUUCGAAAGAGAUUUUGAAGUGCCUUCGGGAGCUUUGGGACAGGUGCUGCAUGGCUGUCGUCAGCUCGUGUCG